AAGAAAGACGCUUUUGGCAGCAGGCAUUUC
rnacentral:piRNA from 1 species